UACGAAGGGGGCUAGCGUUGUUCGGAAUUACUGGGCGUAAAGCGCACGUAGGCGGAUAUUUAAGUCAGGGGUGAAAUCCCAGAGCUCAACUCUGGAACUGCCUUUGAUACUGGGUAUCUUGAGUAUGGAAGAGGUAAGUGGAAUUGCGAGUGUAGAGGUGAAAUCGUAGAUAUUGGGAAGAACACCGGUGGCGAAGGCGGCUCACUGGCUCAUUACUGACGGCUCAGGCGCGACAGCGUGGGGAUCAAACAGG
rnacentral:rRNA from 1 species